GGAAUGGUAUGUGUUUCUAAAUAUUUCAUUUUAAUUUGAUGAAAAAUAAUAAUAAAACAUAAUAAUGUGCAUAUGCAAUCUACAGCGAGCUUCUUAAAGAUGAGUAGUUCCCACUGGAAUUGUAUUAAUUCGACGUGAACCAUGACGAACAAUUACUGAACAUGACAGCUUCUUUCUACAAGAAGAUUGCUGAGUCCGAAAAAAAUAUUCCGCCUUAGAGCAGCUGUGGGCCUGAUAUUUCGCCAAAACCCUAUCAAAUCAGCGAGACGAGCCUUACCUUAAGUGUAUGAGGUAUGCGCGUUUGCCAGGGUUAUUUAAUUUAACAGUAUCGAUAAAUCAUGGAGGCGUGCGACAUCGUACAGAACUCGCGGUAAACACGCCCGGCCCGGGCCGCCUCUACUGCGCAGGACCAGAGAUGCUGGGGCUUCUGGUACGUGAUGUCCCGUUUCUAAGACGCUCCUUUACUUAACGUUACAUCCACGCCGAGGCGAUCCGAAGCCAAUCGGCUGGUCACACCGUGGCGUGGAGUGAGGGAGCUGGUUCUUGGGGCGACACAAAACCCCCUAUCCCUGGUGCCAGGGGGCCGUCUAUCAAGACAGUCUGCAAUACAACAAGCUGACGCUGGUGUGCGCACUGCAGCUUUGACUCCAUUGGACUCUCAUCCACCACAGCACCACAGGCAGAGCGGCGACUACCCUAUUCAGUAGACUACAGCUUUCCCAGUUCCUGUUUCCGCCGCAGCCUUUCCACCCGAAUUUGUACCCAAACAUCUCUGCGUCAGAUUCAACUUCUUCAGCCCCGAUGGAUCGCGCCGAACGCCGCUGCUGCUGUGUGGCAAGGCUGUUCUGAUACGUGAUCCUAUGUCAGCGUUGCCACAGACGCGCUCCACAGCUGAAGGUAGCCCCUCCCCUCCGGCGCCGCUGACAGAGAGCGGUCAGGCUGCGGUUUGGAACUCGCCCCGCACCGAGGAGCCGAGGAAGCGGAGCGCGCGCGAACACGGAAGAGAGACGCGCGGCAAAGCGACACGGCGUCACCGCGGCUGGACCCUCGCGCAGAAACGCCGGACGUCUUUGCGCCAGCCAUGCUUUAGCACGCCCCCUCCGUCCGGUUUUAUCCUGAGACACACCCCCCCUCCCCCUUCUCCCCCCCCCCCCCCCCCCCCCCACACACCCAUCCCGAGUGUACAGCCACCCAGGGCGGCAAGAUGCCAAUGCUAACACCGGCGACGCAGCGGAAGCACUUGUGACAGCAGGGUGGGUCCGGGGAGGGGUGGGGUGGGGGGGGGGAGGAGGGGGCGUGUGUGUCUGUCCUGAGCGGGUGAAGCGUCUGUGCGUGCGUGGGUGCACGCCUGUGCGCCUGUGUGGGUGUGUGUGUGUGUGUGCGUGUGUGUGUGUGUGUGCGCGCGCGUGUGUGUGUGUUACGGCGGCGUGGGGGCCGACAGACACUCCGGGCACGUCGUGCGUCGCGUGGACCAUGCGGCCGUGGGCGGGGUCUUGGCGCUGGAUCACCCUGGUGCUGCUGGCCUGGGGCACGCUGCUCUUCUACAUCGGCGGCCACCUGGUGCGCGACAGUGAGCACCCCGAGCGCUCCAGCC
ensembl:lncRNA